rnacentral:rRNA from 1 species
UACGUAGGGAGCGAGCGUUAUCCGGAAUUAUUGGGUGUAAAGCGUGUGUAGGCGGGAAAUUAAGUCUAAGGUCUAAGCCCGGAGCUCAACUCCGGAUCGCCUUAGAAACUGAUUUUCUUGAGUAUGGUAGAGGCAAAUGGAAUUUCUAGUGUAGCGGUAAAAUGCGUAGAUAUUAGAAGGAACACCAGUGGCGAAGGCGAUUUGCUGGGCCAAAACUGACGCUGAGACACGAAAGCGUGGGGAGC